AUUGAACGCUGGCGGCAGGCCUAACACAUGCAAGUCGAGCGGAUGAAGGGAGCUUGCUCCUGGAUUCAGCGGCGGACGGGUGAGUAAUGCCUAGGAAUCUGCCUGGUAGUGGGGGGUAACGUCCGGAAACGGGCGCUAAUACCGCAUACGUCCUGAGGGAGAAAGUGGGGGAUCUUCGGACCUCACGCUAUCAGAUGAUCCUAGGUCGGAUUAGCUAGUUGUUGGGGUAAAGGCCUACCAAGGCGACGAUCCGUAACUGGUCUGAGAGGAUGAUCAGUCACACUGGAACUGAGACACGGUCCAGACUCCUACGGGAGGCAGCAGUGGGGAAUAUUGGACAAUGGGCGAAAGCAUGAUACAGCCAUGCCGCGUGUGUGAAGAAGGUCUUCGGAUUGUAAAGCACUUUAAGUUGGGAGGAAGGGCAGUAAGUUAAUACCUUGCUGUUUUGACGUUACCAACAGAAUAAGCACCGGCUAACUUCGUG
rnacentral:rRNA from 1 species